GGGUUUGGGUGGAAUUAAUGAAUCGGAUUCGACAGCUAGGGUUUUGGUUGAGAGUGAGGAUGUGAAAUUAGCUAAAACGGAGUUUCAAGAUUUGAAUUUUAUGGAUGAAGCUAAUAUUGAUAUUGUAGUGGAAGAGACGGAUGAUAAAGAUGAUAUUUUGGUGGGGAAUCAUCAAAACGUAGGUGAAGACCAUGAGAAUCUGAAGGAUGGGACUGGAAAUGCAGGGAAUUUCGUGAUUGAAGCUUCUGGUGCCGAGCAGUUGAUUCCUGGGCUGGCGAUUCCGGGUGUUUCAGGUGGGGCGGGGAAUACUGGAGAAGGUACUUUUGAGGAUGAUUGGGAUAGUGAUAGUGAGGAUGAUUUGCAGAUUGUGUUAAAUGACAACACUCAUGGACCAAUGGGCAUGGAGAGAAUGGGUAUUGGUGAAGAGGACGAUGAAGAUGAAGAUCCUUUGGUUAUUGUUGCUGAUAAUGAUGGCCCAAGCCAUCCACCAAUGAUGGAGGAGCAAGAUUGGGGUGAAGAGGGGGGUCCUGCCGCUAAUGGAGAGAGAAAGGAGAUAUUAGAUGCACUAAAAGUGAAUGGAGCACCUGG
rnacentral:misc_RNA from 1 species